rnacentral:lncRNA from 1 species
UCUGAACAACACACACACCUCAGACUGCAUGCCCAACCUCCAGUUUCUGUGAGUCAGGAAUUCAGAAGUGGCUUCUGGCUCAUGGACCGUCCUGAGGUCGUCGUUAAAAUGUCAGCUGUGGCUGCAGUCUCCUGAAGCUUGCCUGGGCUGGAGGGGCUGCUUCCAAGAUGGCUCACUCACAUGGCUGCGGGCAGGAGGCCUCAGUUUCUCACCACAUGGACCUCUUGGUAGAACUACGGCUGAAUGCUCAGUGUAUCGGUGAUGAUUCAUCGUUGAUUGAAAGAAAGUAACUCACUUAGGCUGUAACUUCGCUUCCUUCACCCAGAGGGGCAUGGAAAGGAUGCGGGGGGCGGAGGUUGUCAGGUAUGUGUCCAUGGAGUAGGAAGGCCAUGGAACCUAGCCUAUUUGUCUCCCUUGAAAACCUUGACACUCCUUAAUUAAAGAGGUUGGAUUUGGAGAUGGAUACAUAUGGAAAUGAAGCAUAUAUGUGUCUUAUUUUGUUAGGUUGGAAAAUGCCACGGGAAAGCUGUAGAUCUGCAUACAGUUAUCUCGAUGAUCAAGAGCAGCCAGCAGUCAGAGGUGACUGGCCCUCUGUGGUUGGUGUUAGCAAGGAGGAUAAAGACACUGUCUGCUUUUAGAAAAAGCAUUUAGGUGAAUCUCCUGGCUGAGUGCUCCUGUGGGGCUUGGAUAAUGCUGAUGAAUAUGUGCAUUUUGAAAUGAUCAGGAGUCAGCCUGAUAAUCCAUCACAUGUAAAGAUGCCUUUGGGAGCAACUAACCCUUUCUUUGCUCCUGUGAAGUUCAAACCCUUAUGAGAAGGGGCUCCUAGGCAUCAUUACCACAGGGUUUAUCAUCAUUAUCAGCCUUCAUGGUUGCCAGCAUAGGUUCCUGAAAAGCCUGCUUACGUAUGGUACUUAGAUAAAGCUGUGUCUAGGACAAGCCUCACUGCUGCCCUCAAUAGUCUUGUGAUCCAACCCAUUCCAGUCUAUGCACUAGGAGACUGGGUGAGGUGGUAGAACAAAGCAUGGCCUCUGGAAUCUGGAACCUAGGUCUGGAUCCUGACUCUGCCACUUAGUAGCUGUCUAGUCUUAAGCAAAUUACUCACCUUCUCUGAGUCUCCGAUUUUCAUCUAUAAAAAGGAUUGCUAAUAAUACCUCUUUCUCAGUGUUGUUGUGAAAUAUAAUGUGAUAGCCACUAUUAAAUAUUUUUAUA